GGCCCUGGGGUGUUACACAUUAGAUUGCAAAUCUAAAGAGGCAGAUUGACGUCUGCCGGGGCCU
rnacentral:tRNA from 2 species